rnacentral:rRNA from 1 species
AACGAACGCUGGCGGCAUGCCUAACACAUGCAAGUCGAACGAGAUCUUCGGGUCUAGUGGCGCACGGGUGCGUAACGCGUGGGAAUCUGCCCUUUGGUCCGGAAUAACAGUUGGAAACGACUGCUAAUACCGGAUGAUGACGAAAGUCAAAAGAUUUAUCGCCAGAGGAGGAGCCAGCGUAGGAUGAGCUAGUUGGUGUGGUAAGGGCGCACCAAGGCGACGAUCCUUAGCUGGUCUGAGAGGAUGAUCAGCCACACUGGGAAUGAGACACGGCCCAGACUCCUACGGGAGGCAGCAGUGGGGAAUAUUGGACAAUGGGAGAAAGCCUGAUCCAGCAAUGCCGCGUGAGUGAUGAAGGCCUUAGGGUUGUAAAGCUCUUUUACCCGGGAUGAUAAUGACAGUACCGGGAGAAUAAGCUCCGGCUAACUCCGUGCCAGCCGCCGCCGUAA